CAACUCGCCUACAUGAAGCCGGAAUCGCUAGUAAUCGUGGAUCAGCAUGCCACGGUGAAUACGUUCCCGGGCCUUGUACACACCGCCCGUCACACCACGAGAGGUUGUAACACCCGAAGUCGGUAGGGUAACCUUUAUGGAGCCAGCCGCCGAAGGUGGGACAGAUAAUUGGGGUGAAGUCGUAACAAGGUAGCCGUAUCGGAAGGUGCGGCUGGAUCACCUCCUUUCUAAGGAA
rnacentral:rRNA from 1 species